ensembl:misc_RNA 7SK 7SK RNA
GGAUGUGAGGGAGAUCUGACUGUGACAUCUGUCACCCCAUUGAUCACCAGGGUUGAUUCAGCUGAUCUGGCUGGCUAAGAGGGUGUCCCCUUCCUCCCUCACCGCUCCAUGUGCGUCCCUCCCAAAGCUGUGUGCUCAGUCCAAGAGGACGGCCUUCCCCAAUAGAGAUGGACCGGUCUUCGGUUGAGGGUAUAUGAGUAGCUGCGCUCCCCUGCUAGAAUCUCCAAACAAGCUCUCAAAAUAGCAUAUAAAAUAAAAUCCAGGAAUAUGUGCCCCAAUCACAUUAUAAACGGUAAAAACAUAUGCAUAUGUUCAUAUAUAUAUAUAUAU